UUUUGGUUGAUACAGUUGAACUAUCAAAGUUUUCAAGUUUAGAUGAAUUGGAUCUAGCUACCAUAUCAUUACCAACUAGCAUUAGCAAUGAGACUACAGCAGAUGAUAUUAAUUUAGCAUUUACCCUAUACACUCAGUCUACAUUGUUUCCUAUUCGUGACUCAGUUCCUGAUACUGUUGUAGGAUCAUCAGUCAUUAGUGCCAGUGUGGGUGGUAUUCCUGAUGGUACUGUAUUAUCUGAUAAUGUCACUGUUAACUUGAGAAUAGUAGUUGAAAAUGCAACAAAUCAUCGUUGUGUUUACUGGGAUUUUACAGCAGCAGAUGGUAGAGGUAACUGGUCUAUUGUUAAUUGUACUACUACAGUUGAUCCUGAUACUAAUGACACUGUAACAUGUUCCUGUAAUCAUUUGACAACUUUGCCUGCC